GUGCUUGCUUCAGUAGCACAUACACUAAAAAAAAAAUUGAAUGAUACAGAGACGAUUAGCAUGGCGGCUGUGCGAGGGUGACGCGAAUUCAUCAAGCGUUCCGUAUUAAAAAAAAAUUUUU
rnacentral:snRNA from 1 species